rnacentral:rRNA from 1 species
AUACGGAGGAUGCAAGCGUUAUCCGGAUUUAUUGGGUUUAAAGGGUGCGUAGGCGGUUUGCUAAGCGGGAGGUGAAAUGCCGGCGCUCAACGUCGGAAGUGCCUCCCGAACUGGUGGACUUGAAUGACUCUGCCGUGGGAGGAAUGUGUAGUGUAGCGGUGAAAUGCUUAGGGAUUACACAGAACACCGAUUGCGAAGGCAUCUCACGAAGGGUUGAUUGACGCUGAGGCACGAAAGCGUGGGGAUCAAACAGGAUUAGAUACCCUGGUAGUCCACGCAGUAAACGAUGAUGGCUAACCGCUGGGCUUAUCAGUUCAGUGGCCAAGCGAAAGCGAUAAGCCAUCCACCUGGGGAGUACGACCGCAAGGUUGAAACUCAAAGGAAUUGACGGGG